rnacentral:rRNA from 1 species
GUGCCAGCAGCCGCGGUAAUACGGAGGGUGCGAGCGUUGUCCGGAUUCAUUGGGCCUAAAGGGUACGUAGGCGGCCCGUUAAGUCGGCGGUGAAAUCCCACGGCCCAACCGUGGAAGUGCCGUAGAUACUGGCGGGCUUGAGUGCCGCGGGGGCGGGCGGAAUUCCUCAUGUAGCGGUGAAAUGCAUAGAUAUGAGGAGGAACACCGGUGGCGAAGGCGGCCCGCUGUACGGCAACUGACGCUGAGGUACGAAAGCGCGGGGAGCAAACAGGAUUAGAUACCCUGGUAGUCCACGCCCUAAACGAUGGGUGCCAGAUGUCGGGGGUCUUGGACUUUCGGUGUCGAAGUUAACGCGUUAAGCACCCCGCCUGGGGAGUACGGCCGCAAGGUUAAAACUCAAAUGAAUUGACGG